rnacentral:rRNA from 1 species
UACGAAGGGUGCUAGCGUUAAUCGGAAUUACUGGGCGUAAAGCGCACGUCGGCGGCGCCGUAAGUCAGGUGUGAAAGCCCGGGGCUCAACCUGGGAAUUGCAUUUGAGACUGCAUUGCUGGAGUACGGAAGAGGAGGGUGGAAUUCCUGGUGUAGCGGUGAAAUGCGUAGAUAUUGGGAAGAACACCAGUGGCGAAGGCGGCCCACUGGUCCGUUGCUGACACUGAAGUGCGAAAGCGUGGGGAGCAAACAGG